rnacentral:rRNA from 1 species
UACGUAGGGUGCGAGCGUUGUCCGGAUUUAUUGGGCGUAAAGAGCUCGUAGGCGGUUUGUCGCGUCGGCCGUGAAAUCUCCACGCUUAACGUGGAGCGUGCGGUCGAUACGGGCAGACUAGAGUGCGGUAGGGGGUGACUGGAAUUCCUGGUGUAGCGGUGGAAUGCGCAGAUAUCAGGAGGAACACCGAUGGCGAAGGCAGGUCACUGGGCCGCAACUGACGCUGAGGAGCGAAAGCAUGGGGGAGCGAACAGG